UGGGGAAUAUUGCACAAUGGGCGCAAGCCUGAUGCAGCCAUGCCGCGUGUGUGAAGAAGGCCUUCGGGUUGUAAAGCACUUUCAGCGAGGAGGAAGGGUUCAGUGUCAAUAGCACUGUUCAUUGACGUUACUCGCAGAAGAAGCACCGGCUAACUCCGUGCCAGCAGCCGCGGUAAUACGGAGGGUGCAAGCGUUAAUCGGAAUUACUGGGCGUAAAGCGCACGCAGGCGGUUUGUUAAGUCAGAUGUGAAAUCCCCGCGCUUAACGUGGG
rnacentral:rRNA from 1 species